rnacentral:misc_RNA from 1 species
GGCAGACCUGAAAUCAGUUAACUGUUCUUAGGUACCCAAGCAAUUUUGGGUCCUUGAAUGUUAGUAACAUUAGGUAGGGUUCCUUUAGGCACCCAUACUUUCUUUGCCUUAAAGGUUCCUUUCCUAAUAGGGCAAGCAUUAAUCAUAUGACCAUUGUGAUUGCAAUAAAAGCAUGUAAUACUCGGUUGAGAAAAGGAUGUAGCUUUAACAAAAAAUUGUUUGUAUUUUCCAUACUUCAUAAAUCCAUCAUAUCCAAUUCCAGAUUUUUCAUUUGUAAAUCUUUGAUUCCCAAGAAGUAUAUCAAGUGUUUCUUUUACUUUUGUAAAUUUAGAUAAAUCUCUUGUCAAAGAUUCAACUUUUUCCUCAAGUAUUCUGUUUUUCUCAAGAAGUUGUUCACAUACUUCUUUUGAUCUUUGAAGCUCAUCAUUAACUUCCUUAAAUAAUUUCAUUUGAGAUUUAUAAAAUUCAUUUUCCUUUGCAAAAAAAUUCUUUUGCAAUUCUAAAUCAUUAAUUCUAUAGAAUUGGUUAUAGAUGAACUAAAUCUUAUCAAAUUUCAUACAAUUUGCAAAUGAACACUAAAAUUAAUUGCCUUUACAUGUGGACUCUAAUAUUGAAAUUCAAUUGAUCCAAACACAAACAAGAAUAAGUUGACGAAUAAUAAAAUCACCUCCUGAGCAAUGCUUACUAGAUCUUCAACCGUCAAGCCUUCGCCGUCAUCUUCAUCAUCACCGUCAUGGGUGUGGAUUUUCUCACGAUUUUCAAAGGUAGCAUUUUUCGCUUUUCGUCUUUUGCUUGUCUUGGUUCGAGUUCGAGGAGCAAACAAAUUUCUAGGCAAAUUUGGGUUUUCUUCUUCAGGCUCUCCGACAAUCGUCUUCUUUUUAUCUUCAUCGUCGAUGGCAACAGUUGCACUUGCAGUUGCACCCACCAUCCAUGUUGGUAAACGACGUCGUCUACUUUCCUCCUCAGCCAUUCUUGUGCAGAAAAUGGCGGUGAAUUCAAGACCAACACAACCUCCUGGAUUCUCUAGCAGUUUCUUCACUAUAAACUGAGGAAAUUAUUCUUCUUCAGAUAAAACAAUGUGGUUUAUUUAAAAGAGCAAUUUACGAUUAAGUCCCUCAGAUAUAGCAAAACCAAUAAAUUAGUAUGCUUUUAUAUAAUAAUUUAGUCCAUAAAAUUUAAUUUUAUUAACAUAUUAACCUCUUCUUUUUUUUCUUUAGUAACUUUUUUUUUUUAACGUGUUGCGCAUCGCGUAAUUUGUACUUAUUGUUCUAACUUAUAAUUUAAUUUUUUUAUAUGUAAUUUUUUAUUCUAAUUUUUCAUUUAAAAUAUAAUUUUAUUCUAAUAUAUUGAUUUUUGUUAACUAAUUAAAUUUAGUCAUUUAUAAUCAUAAUAUCAAAUUGGCACGACUGUGUUUUGCUUAUAAUUAAAGUUGAUUUGUAUUUUUCUAAUUUUUUUUAUAUAUAUUUAAUUUGUUAGUUCUAAAAAAAAUUAGACUAUAUUUCCUUAAACUAUCUUCUCAGGUUUAUUAUUUAUAUAUUUUAAAAUUUCUUUAGUUUUUUUAUUUAUAUAUUUUAUUUUAGUGACAUUAGAAUUAUUUUGUUCUUUUUUGCUCUAUAUUAUUACAUAGUAUGAGAAAUAUAUGAUAACAUUGGUUCUUUAUAUGGUAUGAAUUGAGUACUCAUAGUGUCCUUUGUUCGAUAUAUAAUGAGUUAUCAAAUAGUGCUUAUGAUUUUUGCAAUAGCUGCGACAGUUAUUAAUGUAAAUAAAGAUUAAAUGGUUAGAAAUAUAAAUUUGCAAACAAUUAACAUUUAUUACAUUAAAUACUAUUAAAUAAAUGUAUUUUAUAUUUGCCUUGUAAAUCAGAGUAUAAUAUUAAACCAAAUCAGAGUAUAAUAUUAAACCAUUAUUUUUUUUAUUUUGAAUAUUCCUUAUUUGUUUAAAAUAUAUUAGUUUUUAAUAACCAAUCAAAUUUAACUAUUAAUUAUCAUAAUACCAAAUUAUCAUGAAUAUUUUUGUCCAUUCCACUAUUCUCCUUUCCCACUUUUAUCUAUACGGGAUUAGAGACUUAAAAUGAAUAAGGCUCAUAUCUAAUUCCACUAAUUAAUGUUUGGAAGUAUUGUCAUAAAGGAUUAUUAAAAUUAGUUCUGACAUCCUUUUUAAUGUUAUUUUUGGUUGUUGCUUUAAAAUUUAAAUUUGAGUUGUAUGAAUUAUCAAAUACUAUUAACAGUUUUUCCAAGUGUUUUGUUAUUAUUGGUGUCACGACUUGAUUUUAUGGGCCGGACCGGCAUUAACAUUUGGGUUAACAUAAGGCCCUCGAAACCCAUAAUAAGCCUAUAUAAUUACAAUCCAAUAACUAAACCCAAAAUAAAGGGCCAAACUCAAGAAAACAAAUGCAUAGAGUCCGGCAAUAAAAUGAAUAAUCCAACAAGGAGAAAAACUCACCCGACCUGAAUAUAAUAAAAUGCACAAUUUAGGUAGCUCAUCUGACCCUCACAACCCAUAAUCAUAUCUAAUAUCACAAGGGGGAGCUCAACUCAUCCUAAGUCCAACAUUCCACAUACAUAAUAAGUUUAACAAGUUAGUUUACAUCAUAAGGGAAACUAAUAUAGCCACUGGAGAGUUCUAGAUAUAACAAAAAUAAAUAUAGUUAAUACAUUAAUGGUUUAAGUUUCUAUGUGAGAAAAAAAGCAGGUUAAUUUCAAAAUAACAUUCACCUGUCAUCUAUGAAAAAUAAUUGAAUAGGGGUGAGCGUUUCACUCAGAGAGCUAGAUAUUGAUUAUAAAUAUAAUUUUUAUAGCUAUCUAAAAUUAAUGCAAUCCUAAGUGUGAAAUGCACAUCGAGCACUUACAUUAAGCAAAUCACCUAACUUUUACACGAGAAGAUAAUUUUAGGCUGUACACACACCUAGAAUAGCAUUUUCAUACAUACUAUAAGAGAUGAUCUCCUAUCCAGCUCUCUUAUUCCAAGGCUUACUAGCGAGCUCAACUUAAGCCAAACUUUCACUUAAAUUCAAUUCCAAGCCGUGCCUCACCCCGACUUUCCAUAUCCAUAAGGAUAGUCCAGUGACACUAGCUUAAGCUAUUACUACCUGUCUCACUAAUAUCCAUCAUAUAUAUAUAUAUAUAUACACACCAUCGUGAAAAUUAAUUAAUGGUCUAUAUAUUAAAAAAAAUUGUUAUUCUUUAUUAUAUUUGUUUAUUCUUAAAUUUCCUGUAUUUUUUUCAAUUUAUUUGGGUAUUUUUUUUCCCUUCUGUGAAGUUAAUGUUAUAUUAUAGGGAAGUGGUGGUGAUAGUUUCCUCUCUUUU